rfam:Corchorus capsularis cultivar CVL-1 contig15867, whole genome shotgun sequence.
ACUCCAUGGUGUGGACAGUUUCACUGCAAAUCCUUGAAUCUUUCCCAGGCAUCAUGAAGCGUUUCGUUGUCUCAUUGCUUAAAGCUAGUGAUGUCAGUUCUGAGCUU